rnacentral:misc_RNA from 1 species
CUCGAGUUCUUCAAUUUUGUAAACAUGUAGACUAUGAUAUAUAUGCCUUUACCACCUCAGAAUAAUUGCAAACGAAUCCUGUCCUAGGGCACGUUAUUGUACCAUUAUUUUUCUUGGCCAUUUCUUCAAGCGCCUUAGUACUGUAGACAUAGCCAUUGGGCAAGACUUGUGGUGGAUUCUCUGUGUCCAUCAACUCUUUAGUUAUGUAGCAGACAAGUUUCGAAUGGUGCUGCUUUGAAUAUGNGUAAAGGCAAUGCCAAUUUCCGGAAGCUCUCCUGUGAGAGCGGGUCCUCCUUUGUGCAAUCAUCCUCGUAGCAGUAUGGAGUUUUCAGUGCAGAUAAGCCUGCCUGCAAAUAUAUAUUCAGCAAAGGCUCCAGGGUCAUGCCAUAUAACCUACAGAAUUCUUGUUUAAAUUGGUCCACCAGGUAGUCCCAUUGUUUGGGUUCAAAUAAAACCUUGUAUGUUGCACAUUCAGUAUGACUUUUAAAAGCCAAUGUUGCCAUGACUCGCUGCAAUUCUUUCAUAUGGGUACCUCCCCAUGGAGCAAGAUAUUUCCGUGCAUAUGCAAUGGCACGUAUGUUAUUUUCAGCUCGUACCAACUCUAUGAACUCUUGAAGUCUCAACUGGAAUUCGAAUUUGCUCUUUGACUUCUUCAACCGUGAUUUGUUUUCAGCACACCAGGCAAGAGCAGGAGCUACCUCCCUAUUUUGAAGAGCAUCAAUAACCUUUCUUGCUUCUUGGAAUACAUCAAUAUCAACAAGAUCCAAAAUAUUGCUGCUUUCAGCUAGCUUCAUUCCAGUGUCAUAGUAUGACAUUCG